AUGGCACUGAAGGAGAUCACAGUGGUGAAAAGGUCUGUGUACAGCCCCACACAACAUUUCAUUACUGAUGUAUAGAGAGGGAAACAGCCAAGGACUCCCAAGUCCAUUUUAAAGUAUUAGAAAUACUUUCCAAUACUUAGUAUUGGAAAUACUAAGAGAGUCGUGCAGUCAAAAUGGGAACCUAGAGGCUGUAAUCCUGGUCCCAGAAGGCCCUAACAGACCGUGGACCUGACCCCUGAAAAGGACAAGGCAUGUAGGGCAACACUUUUAAUGGAGACUGAAGGAAAGUCAGAUACCCUCUCACAAUGUUGUGAAGGGGAUCUCGGGUGAGUGAUGGGAACUGUCUCCCUAAAAUGAAUUUGACGUUGUGGUUAAAAUGACUAUUUUGAUUGAAUUUUAAUAGUGAAAUUUAUUAACUAUUACUAGAUGUGUCGUCUUUGGACAAAACGUACCACUUCCUGAUUGGAAAGUUUUGAGGGUCUAACCUUGAAAUACUACCCUUAAAAAACUAUAUUGUCAAACAGUCUGCAUGACUUGAUAAACUGUGUUGGCUGUUCCUUUCUGCCUUCAACCCCUCAUCACACCUAUACCCUGUCUGCCUUACCUCCCCAAGAAAGGAGCUAAGCAGUAAGGUCAGCAGGUUAAAGUGACAUAAGAACUGAAAGAUGUCCAUUGGAUUUGGGUGCAGAGAUAAUGCAGGACACCUUUACUAGAGCAGUUCCAUGAACUGGAAGGUUCCAGAGCCUGGUUCCAGUGUGUAGUGUUAUCACGUUAGAGGUUUAAUCUGCAUCACCUUAUGCUCUACUGAUGUUGAGUCCCUUUCUAGGUGUUUACUGGCUUCUUGAAUAUCCUCUUUUGAGAAGUGCCAUUCAAGACUCUCCCAUUUUUAAAUUGAUAACUCUUUCUGGUUAUUUGCAGGUUAUUAGAAUAUCUUUCUAUAUUCUAGAUAUAGUUUUCUUUCAGUUCAUGUCUGCAUGGUGUGUUAGGCAGAAUUCUAAAUUGCUCCCUAAACUUCUGGCC
ensembl:lncRNA